UCAUAGGCCCUUCUAGGGGCCACAAUCUGCACAGUAAAGGCACUCU
rfam:Heterocephalus glaber contig122647, whole genome shotgun sequence.